UUCCCGUACUUGGUGUUACUGCGAAGGGGGGACGGAGAAGGCUAUGUUGGCCGGGCGACGGUUGUCCCGGUUUAAGCGUGUAGGUGUGUGUUCCAGGUAAAUCCGGUUCACUUUAACACUGAGGCGUGACGACGAGGCACUACGGUGCUGAAGCAACAAAUGCCCUGCUUCCAGGAAAAGCCUCUAAGCAUCAGGUAACAUCAAAUCGUACCCCAAACCGACACAGGUGGUCAGGUAGAGAAUACCAAGGCGCUUGAGAGAACUCGGGUGAAGGAACUAGGCAAAAUGGUGCCGUAACUUCGGGAGAAGGCACGCUGACACGUAGGUGAAGUGAUUUACUCAUGGAGCUGAAGUCAGUCGAAGAUACCAGCUGGCUGCAACUGUUUAUUAAAACACAGCACUGUGCAAACACGAAAGUGGACGUAUACGGUGUGACGCCUGCCCGGUGCCGGAAGGUUAAUUGAUGGGGUCAGCGCAAGCGAAGCUCCUGAUCGAAGCCCCGGUAAACGGCGGCCGUAACUAUAACGGUCCUAAGGUAGCGAAAUUCCUUGUCGGGUAAGUUCCGACCUGCACGAAUGGCGUAAUGAUGGCCAGGCUGUCUCCACCCGAGACUCAGUGAAAUUGAACUCGCUGUGAAGAUGCAGUGUACCCGCGGCAAGACGGAAAGACCCCGUGAACCUUUACUAUAGCUUGACACUGAACAUUGAGCCUUGAUGUGUAGGAUAGGUGGGAGGCUUUGAAGUGUGGACGCCAGUCUGCAUGGAGCCGACCUUGAAAUACCACCCUUUAAUGUUUGAUGUUCUAACGUGGACCCGUAAUCCGGGUUGCGGACAGUGUCUGGUGGGUAGUUUGACUGGGGCGGUCUCCUCCUAAAGAGUAACGGAGGAGCACGAAGGUUGGCUAAUCCUGGUCGGACAUCAGGAGGUUAGUGCAAUGGCAUAAGCCAGCUUGACUGCGAGCGUGACGGCGCGAGCAGGUGCGAAAGCAGGUCAUAGUGAUCCGGUGGUUCUGAAUGGAAGG
rnacentral:rRNA from 1 species